UACCAGCACCCCGAGUGGUCGGGACGAUUAUUGGGCCUAAAGCAUCCGUAGCCGGUCCUACAAGUCUUCCGUUAAAUCCACCUGCUUAACAGAUGGGCCGCGGAGGAUACUAUAAGACUAGGAGGCAGGAGAGGCAAGCGGUACUCAGUGGGUAGGGGUAAAAUCCGUUGAUCCAUUGAAGACCACCAGUGGCGAAGGCGGCUUGCCAGAAUGCGCUCGACGGUGAGGGAUGAAAGCUGGGGGGAGCAAACCGG
rnacentral:rRNA from 1 species